AUGCGGGCGCCUUCAUUGCUUGCUUCAACUUCAUCUCCCUCUUCUUCUUCUCCUUUUCUCUUCUCUCAGCCUCAGACUCUUCCUGGUCUUCGCUACGCCGUCCUCGGCGCUGGCUUCGCCGGCCUCUCAGUCGCUUACCACUUGCUGAAGUAGAGUCCGAAGGACUCGAAUCUCCGCAUCGACGUUUUCGAUGAGGUCGGAAUCGGCGGCGGCGCUUCCGGCGUCUCCGGCGGCCUUCUUCACCCUUACUCUCCCAAAGCCAAGCUCCUAUGGCGCGCCACCGAGUGCUGGGACGAGGCUCUGAGGCUCUUGAACGUCGCCGAGGCCGCCGUGCCUCAUGCUGCUCCGAUUGUUAGAAGAAGGGGAAUCUUACGACCAGCUGUGAGCAUGGAGAACAUGAUGGUGUUGAAAGAUAAUGCGCAGAAUGGCCUGGCCGGUUGCAAAAUUGAAACCAUUGACGAGGAUGCUGCCCAAAAUCUUGUACCGGGCAUCUGUUCACCUUUUAAUACUUCUUUUUAUAUGCCUCAAGCUGUUAAUGUCCAUCCUCAGCGCUACCUCGAGGCACUCUUCUUAGCAUGUCAAACUUUGGUGAAAGUACUUUGUGCUUCUGGCAUGGGGGUAAAGGAACUGCAUUUGCGCAAGGACUCCGUUCAAAACCUGCUAGAGUUGGACGGGGAAUACCAGGCAGUAAUUGUGUGUCUAGGAGCCAAAGCAGAUCUGCUUCCUGAGCUCUCUGGGAGGCUUCCAUUGAGGAAAUGCAGAGGUGUUGUUGCUCAUCUGCAGCUUCCUGAUAAUAUGGGAGGGGAGUAUCCAGGCUUUGGCCCCUCAAUAUUGUCAGAUGCUUGGCUUGCUGUCCAAGGACCUCGUAGUUUGUAUAUGGGCUCAACAUGGGAAUGGAAAUCAAGAAAUUCAUCACCAAAUGUAUCUGCAGAUGAAGCUGCAGAAGCCCCUAAAGAGCUUCUACCAAAAGCAUGCGGCAUUUAUCCGGUUGUUAAAGAUUGGACCUUUAUUGAAGCCAGGGCUGGUGUUAGGGCAAUGCCACCACUCACUCCUCAUGGAUCACUUCCUCUCUUGGGUUGUGUCAAUAACAUCAUAGGUCAAAAUCAAACUUGCAUGUACUGGUUAUUUGGAGGGCUUGGUUCAAGGGGAUUGUUGUACCAUGGUUGGCUUGGGAAGUUGAUGGCACAAGCUGUGCUUUCAUGUAACGAAGAAUUAAUUCCAUAUGAACUAACCUCAUGGAAAAGAACAAAACAAUAAUCGACACAUUCUAGUAUUGGAAUUUUGAAUUGCCAUUUGUUAAUUUUGCCUAUUACUUUCUUGCUUUAGAAAGUGCUUUGUAUUCUUGGCAGAAGCCAGAUUCCUGUUAUCUGGGAUAGUUAUUAUCUUGAUAUGGUUGAUAACUUGAUAUUCACUUGGGUUAUCCAUUCUGUGUUAUGGAUGGGUUUCCUCAAGCAGCAGUUGUGACUUUGUUU